rnacentral:rRNA from 1 species
UACGAAGGGUGCAAGCGUUACUCGGAAUUACUGGGCGUAAAGCGUGCGUAGGUGGUUCGUUAAGUCUGAUGUGAAAGCCCUGGGCUCAACCUGGGAAUGGCAUUGGAUACUGGCGACCUAGAGUGCGGUAGAGGGUGGCGGAAUUCCCGGUGUAGCAGUGAAAUGCGUAGAUAUCGGGAGGAGCAUCCGUGGCGAAGGCGGCCACCUGGACCAGCACUGACACUGAGGCACGAAAGCGUGGGGAGCAAACAGG